rnacentral:rRNA from 1 species
CCUACGGGCGGCAGCAGUGGGGGAUAUUGCACAAUGGGGGGAACCCUGAUGCAGCGACGCCGCGUGGGUGAAGAAGCGCCUCGGCGCGUAAAGCCCUGUCAGCAGGGAAGAAAAUGACGGUACCUGAAGAAGAAGCCCCGGCUAACUACGUGCCAGCAGCCGCGGUAAUACGUAGGGGGCAAGCGUUAUCCGGAUUUACUGGGGGUAAAGGGGGCGCAGACGGGGAUGCAAGCCACGAGGGAAAGCCCGGGGGCCAACCCCGGGACUGCUCUUGGAACUGCGUGGCUGGAGUGCAGGAGGGGCAGGCGGAAUGCCUGGUGUAGCGGUGAAAUGCGUAGAUAUCAGGAGGAACACCGGUGGCGAAGGCGGCCUGCUGGACUGCAACUGACGUUGAGGCCCGAAAGCGUGGGGAGCAAACAGGAUUAGAUACCCGGGUAGUC